rnacentral:rRNA from 1 species
CCUACGUGAGGCAGCAGUGAGGAAUAUUGGUCAAUGGACGAGAGUCUGAACCAGCCAAGUAGCGUGAAGGAUGACUGCCCUAUGGGUUGUAAACUUCUUUUAUAAAGGAAUAAAACGAGGCACGAGUGCCUGUUUGCAGGGACUUUAUGAAUAAGGAUCGGCUAACUCAGUGACAGCAGCCGCGGUAAGACGGAGGAUCGGAGGGUUAACCGGAUGUAUUGGGUUAACAGGGAGCGUAGAUGGGUUGUUAAGGCAGUUGUGAAAGGUGUCGGCUCCACCGUAAAAUUGCAAUUGAUACUGGCAUUCUUGUGUACAUUUGUGUUCGGCUGACUUCGUGGUUUAGCGGU